rnacentral:rRNA from 1 species
UACAGAGGUCUCAAGCGUUGUUCGGAUUCAUUGGGCGUAAAGGGUGCGUAGGUGGCGCCGUAAGUCGGGUGUGAAAUUUCGGAGCUUAACUCCGAAACUGCAUUCGAUACUGCCGUGAUUGAGGACUGGAGAGGAGACUGGAAUUUACGGUGUAGCGGUGAAAUGCGUAGAUAUCGUAAGGAAGACCAGUGGCGAAGGCGGGUCUCUGGACAGUUCCUGACGCUGAGGCACGAAGGCCAGGGGAGCAAACGGG